UACAGAGGGUGCAAGCGUUAAUCGGAAUUACUGGGCGUAAAGCGCGCGUAGGUGGUUUGUUAAGUUGAAUGUGAAAUCCCCGGGCUCAACCUGGGAACUGCAUCCAAAACUGGCAAGCUAGAGUAUGGUAGAGGGUGGUGGAAUUUCCUGUGUAGCGGUGAAAUGCGUAGAUAUAGGAAGGAACACCAGUGGCGAAGGCGACCACCUGGACUGAUACUGACACUGAGGUGCGAAAUCGUGGGGAGCAAACAGG
rnacentral:rRNA from 1 species